AUGUCCAGUCAUGUGGACUUCAGGCUCCCUGAGCUGUCUGAAAGUGACCCAGAGAUGACAAGGUCCUUCCUAUCAGGUAAGAUGUGCCCUCAGGGGUGCUCAAAAGGCAGGAGAGGCCAGAUGGAGGAAGAUCUAAGGAACAAUGCAGCGCACCCCCAAGAGAGAGGGCUCCUGCAUAAGGACAGCCCGCCCACCACAAGACGUCAGCUUUUACACACACUCUUCAUUGACGACCAGCAGCCCAGCUCUCCAGAGGCCAAGCCCUGGACCCUGGAAAACUGCAGGCCCCAAACCCCAGCCAGCCACCUGCGUGCUAACACUCCUACUUCUGGAGAACCCCAAGGCCCUGUGGACCCCAGUGGCACAUACAACGAUGUGGGCUUUGGGUUGGCUGAGUCGACUGAACCUGACCAUGACAUUUGGAGGGCAGAACAUGUUCCCUUUUACCGGGUGUGCCAGUUCAGACGGGAGUCACCUGAGGCCUGUACGCAACCUCUUUUCGAAGGACAUCUCCUGGGGGAUCCUCCCAUCCCCGUCUUGAAACCUUUUUCUUUUUUUUGUCUUUUUACCUUUUCUAGGGCCACUUCCCAUGGCAUAUGGAGGUUCCCAGGCUAGGGAUCUAAUUGGAGCUGUAGCCACCGGCCUACACCAGAGCCACAGCCACAGCAAUGCUGGAUCGGAGCUGCAUCUGUGACCUACACCACAGCCAGAUCCUUAACCCACUGAGCAAGGCCAGGGAUCGAACCCGCAACCUCAUGGUUCCUAGUCGGAUUCAAUAACCACUGCGCCACAAAAGGAACCCCGAAACCCAUCUUUUAACCUGGAGGUGAUACUACCAAGCCUCGGCUGGGCUUGAAACGUGUUUUGGCGCCCUCUGGUGGCCAUUCUCUCUAAUGACAACUCACAGCCCUGCCUCCAGCUUCCUGAACAGGAAAGAAUGCCCUUGGCUUGUGCUCCAAAUAGUUGAUUUACUCCCUCCUCUCACUCUAAGAACAAUCAUGCUCUUUCUAGGGACAUUAUCAUUCUCUCAAAGUCAGCUAUGGCACUCACUCCUCCCAAUCCUUCCCCACUCUCUAAAUCCUUGAGUCGAACCCAUCCAAAUCUGGUGACAGGAUUUCAAUGAAUCCUGUUCCCCAUUCUUCAUUUCUGGGUUUUGGCCAGAGGUUUGUUUUUCCUCUCCGGGGGGGAAAUUAGAGGAGGGGAGAGGCUCUGAACAAAGGAAAAGAAACUUUUCAGAGAAUCCUCAAGAGACCCAUCUCUGGGAUGAAUGCAGCCAGUGGGCUGAUCAAGGAAGCACGUGUUUAGUGCAUUCAAUUCACAAGCACCCACCCACCUGUCCUGAGGGCAAACCC
rnacentral:lncRNA from 1 species